GACGAACGCUGGCGGCGUGCUUAACACAUGCAAGUCGAACGGAAAGGCCCUGCUUUUGUGGGGUGCUCGAGUGGCGAACGGGUGAGUAACACGUGAGUAACCUGCCCUUGACUUUGGGAUAACUUCAGGAAACUGGGGCUAAUACCGGAUAGGAGCUCCUGCUGCAUGGUGGGGGUUGGAAAGUUUCGGCGGUUGGGGAUGGACUCGCGGCUUAUCAGCUUGUUGGUGGGGUAGUGGCUUACCAAGGCUUUGACGGGUAGCCGGCAUGAGAGGGUGACCGGCGACAUUGGGACUACGAUACGGACCAGACUCCUACGGGAGGCAGCAGUGGGGAAUAUUGCACAAUGGGCGGAAGCCUGAUGCAGCAACGCCGCGUGCGGGAUGACGGCUUUUGGGUUGUAAACCGCUUUCGCCUGUGACGAAGCGUGAGUGACGGUAAUGGGUAAAGAAGCAACGGCUAACUACGUG
rnacentral:rRNA from 1 species